rnacentral:rRNA from 1 species
UACGUAGGUUCCGAGCGUUGUCCGGAUUUAUUGGGCGUAAAGCGAGCGCAGGUGGUUUAAUAAGUCUGAUGUAAAAGGCAGUGGCUCAACCAUUGUGUGCAUUGGAAACUGUUAGACUUGAGUGCAGUAGAGGAGAGUGGAAUUCCAUGUGUAGCGGUGAAAUGCGUAGAUAUAUGGAGGAACACCGGUGGCGAAAGCGGCUCUCUGGUCUGUAACUGACGCUGAGGCUCGAAAGCGUGGGGAGCGAACAGG